AACUCCUGACCUCGGGUGAUCCACCUGCGUCGGCCUCCCAAAGUGUUGGGAUUAUAGGCAUGAGCCACCACACUGGCCCUGAAUGUUCUUUAGACUCGAAUCCAGUGGUUCUCAAACUUUAGGGUCCAUCAGAAUCACCUAGAAGGUGUGUUAAGCUUCAAACUGCCAGGCCCCACUCUCCCAGAGUUUCUGAUUCGCUAGGUUUGGUCUGGGCUAUGCUUACCUAUCUUGCCUAUUUUCUAUCCUGUCUUUCUCUUUGUCCUGACUCUAUUUCCCUUGGUUUGUACUGUAUCCAUUGUGGAAAGAGGAGGAGAUAAAUAAGUGAGCAAAUAAAUAAGAUCACGAGCAUUAAUUUGACCUGCCUUUCCUGGAGCUCUACCGUGAGAUUCUUCGGACACUAGACUCACAGCAGAAUUUGUUGUUAGGUCUCCAUAACCCUGCCAGGGCAGUUGUUCCCAUGUGUUCUAAGACAAACCAUCAAAGGUGUUGCCAGUAGUAUAGUAGCAGGAUAUUUUACCUCAAUUAGUGAUUAUGUUGUGUAUAUCUUUCCAUGUCACCCCUCCUCCCCCUCCUCAAGAUUUCAUGGAAAUCUGUAUUUGAAUAGAACUCUGAGUAUCAUGACUACAGGCACAAGCUGACAUUCACUAGGGAUGUCAUUCUGUUUUGUUUUGUUUUUUUGAGACAGAGCCUCUCUCUGUUGCCCAGGCCGGAGUGAACUGGCAUGAUCUAGGCUCACUGCAACCUCCGCCUCCCAGGUUCAAGUGAUUCUCCUGCCUCGGCCUCCCGAGUAGCUGGAGAUGUGUGCCACCAUGCCCGGCCGAUUUUUGUAUUUUUAGUAGAGAUGGGGUUUCACCAUGUUGUCCAGGCUGGUCCUGAACUCCUGACCUCAGGUGAUCACCUGCCUCAGCCCUCCAAAGUGCUGGGAUUACAGGCAUGAGCCACUGCGGUAGGCUGGGAUGGCAUUCUGAUUCCUGAUUUCCCUGGUCAGAAGUCUUUGUUCCUGGAUUUAUUCUCAUGUUACCUUGCGUCUCUGUGGAAGCAUUUAUUUGCCAUAUUCUGCAAACAUGUUGUCCCCAGAUAGAUUGAAUGCUACCCGAAGGUUUGUCACAGUGCUGUGCACAAAGCGGGACUUCAAGUGUUAUGGAGGCCUGGAAAGCCAGGUACAAUGGCUCACCCAGCACUUUGGGAGGCCGAGGCGAGCGGAUCGCAUGAGGCCAGGAGCUCGAGACCAGCCUGGUCAACGUAGUGAAACCCUGUCUCUGCUAAAAAUACAAAAAUGAGCCAGGCGUGGUGGCGCGUGCCCGUAGUCCCAGCUACUCUGGAGGCUGAGGCAGGAGAAUCGCCUGAACCCGGGAGGCGGAGGUUGCAGAGAGCCGAAAUCAAGCCACUGCACUCCAGCCUGGGCGAUAGAACUAGACCCCAACUGAAUAAAUAAAUACAAUAAAGCAAAAGCGUUCUGGGUUGUUUGUGUUUAAUUAUACUAAGGAGAUUUGAUAGGAAGGAGCACAAUAAAUGUCAUGGUGAUUAUUUGGUUUAUUGUAAUACAAUAAAUGAAAUACAAUAAAAGGUUUAACAAACCUUUUCAUAAAGUUGCUUUGGUUGUUAAAAAAGUUUAGACCUUUCCUGCCAUUUUUCUUUUUUUAAGUAAAUCAUUCUAACUUCCUAAAAGUAUAGCUCAAAAAGGUGGGGGCCCAGGGGAGAGGCCAGCAGCGAAGGCAUUAUUGGGAUCUUAUUUGCCCCAAGAUCACGCAGAGAUGACUUAUUCAGUUUGUAGAUUAUAUAAACGGAAGAGGGAAUUAAUAGUUACUGAAUCUACCAUGAGUCAGAUACAAACUUUCUCAUACAAUCCUCAUGGUAAUCCAACAAGGUUAGAAAUUGGGAACAGAAGAGAGGGCGGGGAACUGAGCUCGGGUUUCAGGCUAGCAGCAGACAAGCAGGAAGCGGAACGAAGAAUGAUUUCUAAGCGCAGUUCCACAGCCCACUCACCUCGUCGGCUGGGGCCACCUGCUCUGGGAGUUUCGAUUUCCCUUCCCGCGACUGCACCUGCACAGACAUGGGCAACGCCUUACCAGAGCAACACCUGUGUUUGUUUGGCGGGAAUGAACCUUGCACUCGGCAGGGCUCAGGGCCCAUCGCGUGCAGCGAAGCGCGGGUGAUUUAAACCCAAGCAGCCGGCGCCUAGAAUCCGACCGGAUGCUCCUUAACUUUGGCCCCGGUCUCCGGACUCCUCUGAUUGGACGUGGCUUCGUUCGGCCGCCCAAUGGCGAGGCAGCGCGAGGCUUCCCGGAAGUGGUGGCGCGGUCAGGGCUGGCCUUGGCUUCAGCUGCGGUUUUGGGGUUCAGGACGCUGGGAUCGGCGGCGCUAUGAGUUCUUUCGAGGGGCAGAUGGCCGAGUAUCCAACUAUCUCCAUAGACCGCUUCGACAGGGAGAACCUGAGGGCCCGCCCCUACUUCCUGUCCCACUGCCACAAAGGUCACAUGAAAGGAUUAAGAGCCCCUACCUUGAAAAGAAGGUUGGAGUGCAGAUGAGGAAACUGAGGAACCAGAGAGGUUAAAUCAGUUGCCCAGUGUCACACAGCCAGUAAGUGGCAGGACCAGGAUUCCAGCCAGACACAUCUGAUCACAUACAAGCGCGUAUUUCCAAGUAACAAUGGUGAGGGACCACUGUUGGAGGAGGUCCAGGGACACCGUGUUUCCACCCCCACCUUGUGCUCUUGGUGGCACUGAAAUGGUGCGCAUAGCUUGGAGGUUUAUCUAUACUGUUCACCUGUGACUAAGGAGUUGUUGUUAACGAGCCGGAAAUACAGAUUUUGGAAGAAACAAAUUAUAUCUAUUGAAAUCGAGACUCCUACCCAGAUAUCUUUAGUGGAUGAAGCAUCAGGAGAGGUUUUUAUUUCAGGGCAAUAAUGGAACUAUCUUGUACACAGGAGACUUCAGAUUGGUGCAAGGAGAAGCUGCUAGAAUGGAGCUUCUGUACUCCGGGGGCAGAGUCAAAGACAUCCAAAGUGUAUAUUUAGAUACUAUGUUGUGUGAUCCAAGAUUUUACCAAAUUCCAAGUCGGGAGGAGUGUUUAAGUGGAGUCUUAGAGCUGGUUCAAAGCUGGAUCACUCGGAGCCUGUACCGUGUUGUGUGGCUGAACUGCAAAGCGGCUUAUGGCUAUGGAUAUUUGUUCACCAACCUUAGUGAAGAAUUAGGAGUCCAGAUUCAUGUCAAUAAGCUAGACAUGUUUAGGAACAUGCCUGAGAUCCUUCAUCAUCUCACAACAGACCACAACACUCAGAUCCAUGCAUGCUGGCACCCCAAGGUACAUGUGUGAGUGGCUCGAGACCUCCAGAAGUUUCCCACCAGAGACCUAGGCUGCGUGUUGCUCUGGAGCCCAGAAAUAACUUCCCACCUAUAUGUUCAAAUGAUUUUUCACAUGAGUGCUAAGAAACCUCAUUGGUGGAAAAGCAGCCUUUUCAAGAAAUGGUGUUGGAGAAACUUGAUUUCCACAUGCAGAAGAAUGAAGGUGGACCCUAAGUCACACCAGGUGCAAAAAUUAACACAAACUGGAUCAGAGACCUCACCUCAAGCGCUAAAAGUAUCAUAUGCCUAAAGGAAAACAUUGGCCACGCUUUCGUGACAUCAGAUUGGGCAAUGUUCUCUGGAAUAUGACACCAAAAGCAUAGGCAACAAAAGAAAAUUAGAUUCCUUGGAUUACAUCUAAAUGACAGACACUUUUGUGCAGCAAAAAACACUGCGAACUGGGUGAAAAGAUAACCCAUGUAUUAGGAAAAAUAUUUGCAAAGCAUAUAUCUGAAAAGAGGUUGAUAUCCAUCAUAUAUAAAGAACAGCUAGAACUAAACAACAAGAAACCCAAAGCAUCCCAUCAACAAUGGUCAGAAGACUCGAGUAGACAUGUUCCUAAAGAAGAUAUAGCAAUGGCCAAUAAGCAUCUAAAAUGAUGUUCAAAAUCACUCAUCGUAGGGAAGCGCAAAUCAAACCAAGAAUGUGUUAACAAACAUUAGGAUGGAUGUGAUAAACAAACAGGCAUUGGCGAGACUAAAGGGAAAUAGGAAUGCUCGAAUCUGAUCGGAGGGAAUGUAAAACCGUGAAGGAACGGGGAAAAUAGUAUGGCGUGUACUGGAAAAAUUAGAAACAGAAUGAUCAGAUGUUCCCGCAGUUGCAUUUGUGGGUACCCACCAAAAGGAAUUAGAAGCCAGGAGUGGAAGACAGAUUUGUGUACACCCAUAUUCAUAGCAGCAUUAUUCACAACAGCCAAAAUGUGGAAGCAACCCAAGGGUUCGUGGACAGAUGAAUGAAAAAGCACACUGCAGUUCCUUCAUACAAUGGAAGACUAUUCAGCCUUCAAAAGGCAGGCACUUCUGGCCGGUGCGGUGGCUCACGCCUGUAAUCGCAGCGUCUUGGAAGACCGAGGUGGGCAGAUCACCUGAGGUCAGGAAUUCAAGACCAACCUGGCCAUCUUGGUGAAACCCUGUCUCUACUGAAAAUGCAAAAAAUGAGAUGAGCGUGGUGGCGUGUGCCUAUAGACCCAGCUACUCGGGAGGCUGAGGCACAAGAAUAGCUGGAACCCGGGAAGCGGAGGUUGCAGUGAGCUUAGAUUGUGCCACUGCACUCCAGCCUGUGAGACAGAGUGAGACUCCAUGGAAACACAAAACAAAACAAAACAAAAAAACAGAGAGACACUUCUGAAGCAGGCCGCAACGUGGAUGAACCUUGAAGACAUUAUCGUCAGUGAAAUAAAUAAAUCCCAAAAGGAUAAACAGGCCAAGAUUCAGUGGCUCGCACCUGUAAACUCAGCACUUUGGGAGGCUGAGCCAGGCGGAUCACUUCAGGUCCGGAGUUCGAGACCAGCCUGGCCAAUAUGAUGAAAGCUCGUCUCUAUUAAAAAUACAAAAAUUAGCUGGGCGUGGUGGCGCACGCCUGUAAUCCCAGCUACUCAGGAGACUGAGACACAAGAAUCGCUUGGACCCACGAUGUGGAGGUUUCAGUGAGGUGACAUCAUGCCACUGCACUCCAGCCGGGGUGACAGAGAAAGACUCUGUCUCCAAAACAAAAACAUUAAACACGGUAUGAUUCCACUUUUCUAGGAACUGUCUAGAGUAGUUAAACUCAUAGAGUUGCAAACUAGAAAGGUGGCCCCCAGGGGCAGGCGAGAAAGAGGAGUGGAGAUCUUGGUGAAUGGGUGGAAUUUCCAUUUUGAAAGAUAAAACUGUUCCGGAGACGAUGACGGUGAUGGUUGCUAAACAGUGUGAAUGUACUUAAUGUCAUGAAACUGUAAACUGUAAAAGCGUGGAAACUGUAAGUGUUUAUACUGGCCAUUCUAUAUGAACUAAUAUAUAUUUUAAUUUUUAAUAUUUUACGUGGUAAAUUUUCCCAUAAUAAAAGAUGAAAAUUAAAGCAGUUGGAUGUUUAAAAAGAAAAUAAAGAAGCGAAGAAUACCCAGCAGCUUUCUCCUGAUUAGAGGAAGAGCCCCAAAACUUCUACGGACACUCACUUUUCUCUUCUUGCAUUAUUAUGAGGACAUCCUUAGAGGUUGGGGAACUUGGGUGACUUUGGCUAAUGAGGAGCUCUGUGCCUUGAGCCCCCCAGGCCACAGAAUAGUAAGUAGUCAGUCUGUGCCUCCAGCCCUGCAGUGUGAGGAUCCAGUCCUGUGGGCUCCACUCCCGUCACCUGUAUCAGGGGGCUCACGUCUCACACUGUCUUCCUGUCAGCCUUGAGGACGGAGUCUGAGCCUCCAUAGUGCAUCACGCAGGGAGGACAGUGGACCUGUUCUCCGUGGUCAUGGCCCAGCAGAGGGGAAGGGCAGUUCAGUGAGUGUAGGGAAAAGAAAGAGAGAUCAGACUCUUACUAUGUCUAUGUAGAAAGGAAAGACAUAAGAGACUCCAUUUGGACAAAGACCUGUACUUUCAACAAUUGCUUUGCUGAGAUGUUGUUAAUGUGGAGCUUUGCCACAGCCACUUUGACCCAACCUGAAGCUCACAAAAACAUGUGUUGUAUGAAAUCAAGGUUUAAGGGAUCUAGGGCUGUGCAGGACUUACCUUGUUAACAAGAUGUUUCCACGCAGUAUACUUGGUAAAAGUCAUCGCCAUUCUCUAGUCUCAAUAAACCAGGGGCACGAUACACUGUGGAAAGCCGCAGGCAGCCCUACCCUUGAAAGCGGCGUAUUGUCCAAGGUUUCUCCCCAUGUGAUAGUCUGAAAAGUGGCCUCCUGGGAGGAGAAGGACCUGACGGUCCCCGAGCCCGACACCAGUAAAGGGUCUGUGCUGAGGUGGAUUAGUCAAAGAGGAAAGCCUCUUGCAGUUGAGAGAGAGGAAGGCCACUGUCUCCCGCCUGCCCCUGGGAACUGAAUGUCUCGGUAGAAAACCCAAUUGUACAUUUGUUCAAUUCUGAGAUGGGGGAAAAACCGCCCUAUGGUGGGAGGUGAGACAUGUUUGCAGUAAUGCUGCCUUGUUAUUCUUUACUCCACUGAGAUGUUUGGGUGGAGAGAAACAUAAAUCUGGGUUACAUACACGUCCAGUCAUAGUACCUUCCCUUGAAUUUCAUUAUGACAUAGCUUCUAUUGCUCACAUGCUCGUUGCUGACCUUCUCCUUAUUAUCACCCUGCCCUCCUACUACAUUCCUUUUUGCUAAAAUAAUAAAAAUAAUAAUCAGUAAAAACUGGGGGAACUCAGAGGCCGGUGCCUGUGCAGAUCCUCGGUAUGCUGAGCGCCGCUCCCGUGGGCUCACUGUUGUUUCUCUGUACUUUGUCUCUGUGUCUUAUUUCUUUCCUCAGUCUCUCAUUCCACCCGACUAGAAAUACCCACAGGUGUGGAGGGGCAGGCCACCCCUUCAAGUGAGUGCUGAGGGACAGUCGGGAGGCUUGUUUGAUUUCCUUCUCCUCAGGACAAACAGGAGAGUGCGGUGGGCAGAUGGGAGGAGACCAAUGUGCAAACUGUCCACUCAGCAGACGGUGCAGUUUCUGUUCUUGGUUGUGCUGGGGGUCUCAGAAAUCUUAUACAAAAUUUUGCUUUCCUCCUCCACUGGUUGUCCUUUUCAUAGACAUCUCACCCAUGAUAGCAGAGAAUCAGUCCCUCUAAACUAUUCCCUAAGAACAACAAAAAGAUUAUGAAGAUGAUGAUGAGGAUAAAGAGGAUGACGACAGACACCAUGGCAUCAUGAACCCUUCCUGAGGGCUUCCUAAAGGCCAGGCUCUGAGCUCUGUGCUCUAUGCAGCUUGUUUCAUUUCAUCUGCCUAGUCUCCACAUUAUUAGUGCACAUUUCAGGAUGAUUUUACAAACUAGAAAAGGAGCAACGCCUUUUCAUAUAACUCGUACUAGAUCAUGAAGUCAAAAAGGGUGAAGUCCAACUUGAACCAAUCAGUCUAAGUCCAGACACAUGACAUUUGGCCAGUCCUCUCCCUGCAACUAACCUGCCCUCUCAAAUCCUCAUCACUCUGGCGGAUGCCCCUGCUCACUGUGACCUUCCCUUUGGGGGUUCCUUGGAGACCACAGCUAGACCAAUGGGUGCCACAAUCACUGCGUCAAAUAUGGAAAGGGCAGCUGAGAUCACAUCGACGAUUCCAGAAAGAAUUGGCACAGGAUCAUUCGGAAGGCAUCUCUCCCUUGCCCCUGUUCCUGGCUUUCCGUACAGCUCUCGACUUCCUCAAAGGAGUCAUCAAUUCGGAGGUUGGCUUCCAUUCCUAUUGAGGAAGCUGGAAAGCGUUUCCAAAAUGCUCCUCCGAUGUGCCUGUGGUUAAGACCUCUGAGCUCUGCUUAAAACUUUUGGAAGCUGGGGUCGGUGGCUCAAACCUGUAAUCCCAGCCCUUUGGGAGGCUGAGGCAGGCGAAUCACAAGGUCAGGAAUUCGAGACCAGCCUGGCCAACAUGGUGAAACCAUGUCUCUACUCAAAAGAGAAAAAAAUGAGCCAGGCGUAGUGGCGGGCGCCUGUCAUUUCAGCUACUUGGCAGGCUGAGGCAGUAGAAUAGCUUGAACCUGGGAUGCAGAGGUUGCGGUGAGCCGAGAUCACUCCACUGCACUCCAGCCUGGGCAACGGAACAAGACUCCUUCUCAAAACAACAAAAAGAAAAGCAAAAACCAAAAAAACCCACAACUUUUUGAGAGUUGGAAGACCAGGAAGUAUAGUACCCGGGAUUACGAGUCUGGCCAUGAAUUUUGAAUACCACCCUUUCUACUUCUCUGUGUGGCAAAGGGUGAGAUGUCCAUCCUCUGAGACUCAGCACUCUCAUCUGACUUGAUUUCCAGUUGAUCCGAUGGAAGCGAGUGAUGAUUAAGCCGAUCGUGGGUGCCCCCUGCGUGAUCUCUAGGUGACGGAUGCAUAAAGUAAAGGCAAAGUGAAUUUUAGAUACAUUCCUUAAGAUUUUCAGCUUCAACUCCACAUAAUUCAACCGAUAUAUCCCCUGACCUGAAGUUCUGCUUUCCCUGCAUUCCAGACAGGACAUUAUGUUUUUUCCUUCUCUCAGUGAGGACUGAGUACCGUGAGAGGAACAAGUGAGUCUCUUUGGUUUCUGAUUCCACAGAGCCUAUAUCUUGCUUGGCACAUAGGAGAUAGCAAAAGUCAAAUAUAUGUUAAUGAUUGAAUUGACACUUCCUUGCUUCACCAAAAUUGGCUGUCAUCAGCUUGACUUUGACUAACUUGAUUCUUUUUGUUUUUUGUUUUUUGAGACGGAGUUUUGCUCUCGUUGCCCAGGCUGGCGUACAGUGGUGUGAUUUCGGCUCACUGUAGUCUCUGCCUCCCAGGUUCAAGCCAUUCUCCUGCCUCAGCCUCCCGAGUAGCUGGGACUACAGGCGUGCGCCGCCAUACCGGGCGAAUAUUUUGUAUUUUUAGUAGAAGCAGGGUUUCACCAUGUUGGCCAGGAUGGUCUUGAUCUCCUGACCCCGUGACCCGCCCUCCUCGGCCUCCCAAAGUGCUUGGAUUACCGGCGUGAGCCACCGCGUCCGGCCAAACUUUCUGAUGAAAACUCUAAGUCCACCGAAGCUAAGGACAGGAGUUAGAGCUUCCAUGAAUUUUAAAACAAGACCCACCGAUUUGAGUAAGCAAUUACUCUCUCCAAGGAGAAAAGUCCGAAAACACAAUGAUGAAAUCACUAGGACCUAACUGGCAUGUAGAACUAUUUUCUGCUUAUGAGCUAUCAACUUUCCUUUCCUUUCCAGAUGGCAUGGUCUCAGCUGUUAUACAGUGUUUACAAAUGUUGUAAAUCAAGGGAAUUUGUAUCAAUCUAGUAGAAUAAAUAAAAUAUUUGAGUUCUUAA